rnacentral:rRNA from 1 species
UACGGGGGGGGCAAGCGUUGUUCGGAAUUACUGGGCGUAAAGGGCGCGUAGGCGGCCUGCUAAGUCACACGUGAAAUCCCUCGGCUCAACCGGGGAACUGCGUGUGAUACUGGCGGGCUUGAAUUCGGGAGAGGGAUGCAGAAUUCCAGGUGUAGCGGUGAAAUGCGUAGAUAUCUGGAGGAAUACCGGUGGCGAAGGCGGCAUCCUGGACCGGCAUUGACGCUGAGGAGCGAAAGCUAGGGGAGCAAACGGG